rnacentral:sRNA from 1 species
GGAAGUGCUUGGCCACAGUCGCAGCCCCUGCGCCCCGGAGCGGGAAAAAGGCUGGGUGCCGCCGUCCCUCAGCUGCGCAACCCUAGGAACUCUCGGAUCAACCUGGAUGCCUUCCUUCACAAUAAUCUCAUGGAGGUAAUUUAAAGAAUCCCUUUUUUGGAGAGUCAGAGAGAAAAGCAAAAAAAACAGCAUGAGGAAUUUGAAGACUGAGAGAUGAGUUGUGUAGCACCAACAUUUUCUUUCUGCCUGACCUUCAUACCUGAUGAAUUAAAAGGGCAAUAAUUAAGGUGGAAUUUGCCUCACAUGAAGUUUUAUUAUUUUAGUUAUUAAAAUAUUUUCCAACACUACUGAGAAGCAAAAAGCAAUUCUCGUUGUUUUAAAAACAUAGGAUGUUUGGAAGAGUGAGAUAAGGGACACAUUGAAACCAAGAGGCAAUCUGAAGGCUACCUUGACACAUCUGCAAAGCUCCCAGAUUCUGACUUUCACAAGACUUGGAUUCUGUUUCUGGGCCUCGCCUAAACAGUCUGCCAGUCAUCCGAACCGUGGCAGGAUGGAGAUGUUUGUGUAAGGUAGACUCAAGUUUGCAAGACUCAAGAAGGAAACCACCAAACUAAUUUUACUUUCACUUAAACCAGAUUGAAACCAAGACUUGAAGAAUUAAAAACUUUGACAUUAACCAUUGAUUCACUCCAAUGAAAUAAUUGUGUUAUAGCCAGAAUCAUGGUGAAAUUGGAACAAGGCUUUUGAUGGGAUUUUUAAUUGAGGGACUUAUAUUAAAUUGGAUAUUUUCUUUAAUGAACAGCAUGUGGCCAAAAUUCUAUUUUCAUUAAAGUAUAUUAAGCAUCAUGACAACUCAUAUUAAACCUGCAACAAAUGAUUAAUGACAUUUAGAGACUUCAAAUGUCAUGAGACACCUUAAAUAUUAAGAAUCAAAAAGAACACCUCAAAGUUGUUUCUAUUCUUAGUAAUUAUGCUUAAAAAAAAUCUUUCCUUGCUUUGAAAGCCAGUUGCUAAAAAUAAAAACUGUUCCAUGAAAAAUCACAAUGCCCAAUGAUAAAUUUAUGUAUUUGUUUUUUAAAGGGGGAGGAUGGUGAGAAAAAUAGAAAGCUCCUGGCUGACAUCAGAGGUCACAAGAUGAGUUCCUCAUUUGUCCAAAUGACAUUCAGCUGCUAAAAGAAGUCAGACUUUUAGAGGGCUGUUGAAAAGACAGUAAGUCAGGAGGUUUUCAGUACAUGACUGCAGGGGAAUCAGACACAGGCUAGUCACUUAAGUUGCUUAAUUGUCCGUGUACCCUUAGCCCACGACUUCAGGGCUCAGCAGCUUCAUCCUUCAUGGCACCAAACCUUGACGUAAGGGAUUCAAAGACACACUCAUAAGAAUCGUGAAUUUGUCCGCAUGCAAAAUUUGGGGGACUGGCUACAAAACCGAAACAAGGAGAUCGUAUCCCUAAGUGAAAGGGACUUUAUAUUAAUUGUCAGUUAUAACAAUAUGUAAAAUACAUAAAAGAGAUAGAGCACUGCAGGCCAUCAAGGUCAAACAUUUGAAACAGAAUUAAACUAAAUUAUAAGGAGGAUUAAAUGGCUUUUGUCUUUGUAAAGAAAAGAAUGUGCAUGCAUUGAUUGCCUAUGUAGAAGGAUUAAUAAAUCUUUUGGCAUGGU